UAACUUCGAGGAGUUCCUCUGAACAAUUCCUCAACAAUUUGAUAAGUUCCUUAAAAAGUUCCUAACUUCCUGUUUCAUUGACCAAUCAGAUUGCUCAAAAAUAAAAUUUGAUUGGUCAAUGAAACAGGAAGUUAGGAACUUUUUAAGGAACUUAUCAAAUUGUUGAGGAAUUGUUCAGAGGAACUCCUCGAAGUUA
rnacentral:miRNA from 1 species